CUACGGGCCGCUGCAGUGGGGAAUCUUAGACAAUGGGCGCAAGCCUGAUCUAGCCAUGCCGCGUGAGUGAUGAAGGCCUUAGGGUCGUAAAACUCUUUCGCCAGGGAUGAUAAUGACAGUACCUGGUAAAGAAACCCCGGCUAACUCCGUGCCAGCAGCCGCGGUAAUACGGAGGGGGUUAGCGUUGUUCGGAAUUACUGGGCGUAAAGCGCGCGUAGGCGGAUUGGAAAGUUGGGGGUGAAAUCCCGGGGCUCAACCUCGGAACUGCCUCCAAAACUCCCAGUCUAGAGUUCGAGAGAGGUGAGUGGAAUUCCGAGUGUAGAGGUGAAAUUCGUAGAUAUUCGGAGGAACACCAGUGGCGAAGGCGGCUCACUGGCUCGAUACUGACGCUGAGGUGCGAAAGUGUGGGGAGCAAACAGGAUUAGAUACCCCGGUAGUC
rnacentral:rRNA from 1 species